rnacentral:rRNA from 1 species
CCUACGGGGGUCAGCAGUGAGGAAUCUUGGUCAAUGGGCGUAAGCCUGAACCAGCCAAGUCGCGUGAGGGAUGAAGGUUCUAUGGAUCGUAAACCUCUUUUAUACGGGCAUAAAGUGUGGGACGUGUCCUAUUUUUUAUGUACCUUAUGAAUAAGGAUCGGCUAACUCCGUGCCAGCAGCCGCGGUAAUACGGAGGAUCAGAGCGUUAUCCGGAUUUAUUGGGUUUAAAGGGUGCGUAGGCGGCCUUUUAAGUCAGCGGUGAAAGUCUGUGGCUCAACCAGAGAAUUGUCGUUGAAACUGGGGGGCUUGAGUACGUGUGAGGCAGGCGGAAUUCGUGGUGUAGCGGUGAAAUGCUUAGAUAUCACGCAGAACCCCGAUUGCGAAGGCAGCCUGCCAAGCCAUGACUGACGCUGAUGCACGAAAGCGUGGGGAUCAAACAGGAUUAGAUACCCCAGUAGUC